UACAGAGGGGGCAAGCGUUGUUCGGAAUUACUGGGCGUAAAGGGCGCGUAGGCGGCCUGCUAAGUCGAACGUGAAAUCCCCGGGCUCAACCCGGGAACUGCGUCCGAUACUGGCAGGCUUGAAUUCGGGAGAGGGAUGUGGAAUUCCAGGUGUAGCGGUGAAAUGCGUAGAUAUCAGGAGGAACGAGCCGGUAGGCGGAAGGCGGGUCUCUGGGCAG
rnacentral:rRNA from 1 species